GACGAACGCUGGCGGCGUGCCUAAUACAUGCAAGUCGAGCGCAGGAAGCUGACGGAACUCUUCGGAGGGAAGGCAGUGGAAUGAGCGGCGGACGGGUGAGUAACACGUAAGGAACCUGCCUCAAGGAUUGGGAUAACUCCGAGAAAUCGGAGCUAAUACCGGAUAGUUCAACGGACCGCAUGGUCCGCUGAUGAAAGGCGCUUCGGCGUCACCUUGAGAUGGCCUUGCGGUGCAUUAGCUAGUUGGUGGGGUAACGGCCCACCAAGGCGACGAUGCAUAGCCGACCUGGGAGGGUGAUCGGCCACACUGGGACUGAGACACGGACCAGAUUCCUACGGGAGGCAGCAGUAGGGAAUCUUCCACAAUGGACGAAAGUCUGAUGGAGCAACGCCGCGUGAGUGAUGAAGGUUUUCGGAUCGUAAAACUCUGUUGUAAGGGAAGAACACGUACGAGAGGGAAUGCUCGUACCUUGACGGUACCUUGCGAGAAAGCCACGGCUAACUACGUGCCAGCAGCCGCGGUAACAC
rnacentral:rRNA from 1 species